rnacentral:lncRNA from 1 species
UACAAUAUCAUUAAGCGAAAACAUUUUUAAAUGGAAGGAUAAACGAUAAAUUUUGCAGAGUCGCAGCAUCGAUCUGCUAUUUAAUCAAUAAAAUAACAAAAAAGACAGCUAAUUUAACUGGUAACAAGAUACUAAUAGUUAUGCUGGAUCGCUCCCAAACCGUUUGAUGAGUUUUGGGGCGCAAACCCAGCAAGCUACAAUAGCUGAAAUGAUGAAGAGCGCCACAAAGACGAUGGUUAGGAUGAAACCUGUUUCCAUUUUUUCUUGAUCAAACAACCAAGCCUUUGGGUCUUUCUAAUUUUUC